UAACCUGCAAUCAAAAACUUGAAAUUUUAUUUACAAUUUCAUAAUGUGGUACGAAAUUCUACCCAGUUUAACACUUGUUGGAAUGUUUGCGGGAAUUCCUCACGUGGCAGGAUAUGUGAUGAACAAGCUGGCUCUCGGAAAUAUGUACCGAAGAAGUCUUCUUACACCUGAAGAAAGGUUACAAUACAUUCGCGACACUCGCUUAAGCGGAAAUCCAUAUGUUGUGCAAGGUCUGGAAGUAAUUCCAGAUGAGUAAAAAAAUGCAUCAUAUGCUGUUAAGUAGCAGCAAAAUAAUUGUGGUUUUUAGUGGAAAUCUAACUACAUAUUGCAGUUUACCGCAAUGCUUUUUAUAGUGUACCACCCAAUUCUUAUGUUUAUGCUUUAAACAAUAUAAAAUUUGAAAAUA